CUGGAUCCACUGGAAGGCGUUGCACAAGGAGUAGCAACUGAACACCAGGACCACGGCCCAACGACGCUUGCUCACCUUGAUCACGCUGUCUUCUUUAACUAAUUCAUUAGGAUGGGUCAAACCACUGGGUUGAGCCAAGGGCUUCAAAACGGUCAAAAGAAGAUGGAGGUUGAGGAGCUUCUGUGAUUGGUUACUUCUCCGCCGAUGAUGAAAUGGGCCAAUUCAAGCCAGAUCAGAUAAUAUUCAAGGCAGGUUUAUUGGGAGGCUGCUCUCAGCUCAUAGAAUACAAGGGAAGGUGCAGAAGACAGCGGGAACCGGGACAGCUACCCAGGAGUUCCCUGUCCAGGGCUCCUCCUGUGUUGGUGGAAUGGCUACACUCAUCUCUGAGAGCUUUCCCUUGAAAGAAGUUCUUCCUAGGAGAGGUUCUCAUUGGCCCAGCCUGUAUCACAUGGCUGCACCCUGACCAGAUAAGUCAAGUCCUCUUGACUGGCAGUCUUUUGCCUAGAAGGAGGCAAUUCUUUUUUUUAAAAGUUUAUUAGCAUAUUAAUUAUACGUAAUGGGUUUUGUUAAGACAUCUUUCUACAUAAUAUAUUUUGAUCAUCAUUACCCACCAGCACUAUCUUUUGUCCCUCCCCUCUCACUAGUCACCUUCCUCUUUUUGAGGAAGUCCCUUUCUACUCUAGGUCUUUGGUGACUGCCUGAGGGCCUUCCCCGUGGAGGGUCAUUGGAGAUGGGGUAGCCCACAGAGGAGAUAAGACAGGGGCAGGAAGAAUGAGUCAGGCCAUGGUGUUCUGGGAACCUGGCAGCCCUGACUGACUAGCAAUCAGUUGCUUCUUUAUUAAUACAGAACGAAGACAGACUAAUGAUUAUCUAAGAAAUAUAGAUUAUGGUUUGAUUUUUUUUAUUGCAUGUCCAAGGUUACAAUUAGAAAAUACGUCAAUGGAGAGACUCUAAAGAGUGUCUCUUCCAAAGCAAACACAUUUAUUGCAUCCCAGCUGCUUUUAGGCGGGCAGUGUGGGCAGUUUGAAAGCACUCCGACAGACAGAAACUAUCCGAGUGGGUCCUUUUAUGACAGCAAAUACUAAUACCUCGCUUCUUUUGCCACGUUUCAGCAUCUACACUAUAAAGUAGGAAAAGUUUAUUUUAGUCAAUCUACCUUAUUUACUGAGUUCUUUUUCCCAGGGGUGUACCCUGUAUGACCCCCUAUCUUUAAACUAUGCUUUCAGAGAGCUCUAAGGGUAUUGUGUAGAUGGAGGUUGUGAAUCUGUAACCAUUCUCCUGACCAGUCAGAGUUUGACCAGUCAGAGUUUGCUAUUGUCUGUUUACCCUGCACCAAUUAUACUGUUAGAGCCUGCUCAGGGGCAGAAACCACAAGACGAUUCCUGGAGUAAUGGCCUCAUCUAGCUGCGUGCUUCAUAGUCUCCAGGGCAUAAAGAAAACCUCCAGAGAGAGCCAGAUAAAGUUAAUUUUAGGAUGUUCCUAAAAGGACCCAGAUAUAACUCUUUCAGGAAAAGACAGAAAAUGAAUCAUAAUGCAGAAAGUCCCCGGGAAUGCAACACACAGAGACUGAAACCCAAAAGUUAGAGACAGAAAGACAGCGACCACGGCAAACUCUCAGCUUUGCUGGAACCCUGUCAAGGAGCUGUGCUGGGUGACCUCAUGACGCACAGUUCCCAGGGGAUAUGGCUGUGUCAAGGUGGCCUAAUGAACUUUGCUGCUUACAGGAGCAUGGGUGGAGGGUUAUUUACAGGAUGGGCAUCUUACCAGUGGCUACACCACUGAAGAAAAUGCUCCCCCCACCAACCAUUAACUAGUUACAGAUCCUGGGGGGAGGUGGGGUUCUUGAGCUCCGUGACAGGGUGUUAACAGGGGCGGAAUCCAAGAGGACAACAUGUUCUGCACAGGAGAUAGCAUUCCCCAAUACUCCACCCCUUCCUCUGGCUUCUUACCUUCUUUCCACUUUCUCUUCCUAAGAUUGAUUGAUUGGUUUAAUGUAUAUGAGUACACUGUAGCUGUCUUCAGACUGUAGCUGUCUUCAGACACACCAUUAGAGGACAUCGGAUCUCCAUUACAGAUGGUUGUGAGCCACCAUGUGGUUGCUGGGAAUUGAACUCAGGACCUCUGGAACAGCAGUCGGUACUCUUAACCGCUGAGCCAUCUCUCCAGCCUCCCCUUCCUCUUCUGCAUUGCUCUCUGAGCCUUGCAGAAGUUGGGAUAGCUUUUCUACUUAGUAUUGAGGAGUCAGUCAACCAAGCACUCUCUCAUCAUCUGCCUAGUUGUGGGGCUCAGUUGUGACCACUGCCCACCGUGUAGUCCUCCCAUGCCAAAGCUGACAUCAGCCCUAUCCCAUUGGCACAAAUGUCAUUUAAUAGGCACUGUGUCAGAAACGUUAUUUCCAAUUAGCGAAACAGCAGUAGUUGCUUCCCCACUAGGGCCCAUGCCAUGCUAGCUCUGGGCUUUUAAACAGGUUUACAGGCAUUGGUUCCCUCGAUUAUUACUGUAACAGACUUGCUACUGUUGUCAUGCUGGGCACAUCUUGCCUGGAAGGUUGGUGAGGUAGCAGGUAGGACUCUAGAUGACAAUCCUUUUCUACCAGCCUGUAUAGCGCUUGCUAGGGCCUGCAGUGAGGAAGCAUCUGACUCAGUUCCAACUUGAUUUCUAUGUCCUGUGACCAGAACACGUGAUCUUCAGCAUUAGUCUGUUCUGGUGGGCACCCAACAUCGGUAUAAUUAAAAAAAGAGUCAUUAUUAAAAGACUUAUUAUUAUUUUAAAUUAUGUGAACAUAUGUGUAUCAGAUUAUAUGCAUAUGGGUAUAUGCAUAUAAAUGUAGGUGCCUGAAGCGUUCAGAAGUGGGGCAUCCGGUCUUCUGUAGGUGAUAUUACAGGUGCAUCUGAGCUGCCUGAUGUGGGUGCUGAGAACCAAAUUCUGGCUGGAUCUCUGUAAGAGAAGAAACCACUGAGCCAUCUCACCAGCCCCCAAAGAGGCAAUUCUUGCAAGGGAAAUUAGAGUGCUAAUUAGGAGGAUGGAGGGUUGAUAAUAAUAAUAAUAAAAAAAGUCACUUUUAUCACUCGCAUUCCAGUUCUGGGUCACAGUUCAGUGACAGACACCCUGUCUGCUGUGCCCAGGUUUUAGCCUUAGCCAGAGUCAGGUCCCUAUUUUUAGCCCUACAUCCUCAGCAGUCAGCCCUUCUUAGUCAGUCAUAGGACAGAUUCCAGAUGUUCAUACUGAACAAAGCAAAUCUUGAGAAUGUAAGAACCGAUCGAUUCUUCGCACUCAUCAGUCUGAAUAAUUCAUCAAGUGUGCAAGUGCAUAGUAAAUGCCUAUUCAGUUAGGGGAAUGACAGUGAACAGAGAGAGUCUCCAUCCACCCCUGCCUGGAGGGUGAUGUAUAACCGUAUAACCCGUGUAGACAGAUGUGGUUUUGCAAUGUUAUGGAUGGAUUUUGGUUUUUUAAGAGUCUCACUAUGUAGUCCUGGCUAGCCUGGAACUCAGUAAAUAGACCAGGCUGGCCCCAAACUCAGAGAUCCACCUGUGUCUGCCUCCCAAGUGCUGGGUUAAAGGCAUGUGCCAUUAUGCCCUCCCACCAUUUCCACAAAGAGAAAGAAGGAAGGAAAGAAAGGUAAAAAGGAAGGA